rnacentral:rRNA from 1 species
UACGGAGGAUCCAAGCGUUAUCCGGAUUUAUUGGGUUUAAAGGGUGCGUAGGCGGAUUGAUAAGUUAGAGGUGAAAUGUCCGAGCUCAACUCGGGAACUGCCUCUAAUACUGUUGAUCUAGAGAGUAAAUGCAGUAGGCGGAAUGUAUGGUGUAGCGGUGAAAUGCUUAGAGAUCAUACAGAACACCGAUUGCGAAGGCAGCUUACCAAUCUAUAUCUGACGUUGAGGCACGAAAGCGUGGGGAGCAAACAGG